GAAACUCUACCUGAUUUGGUUGCCAUAAUUCCUGACACAGUUCCAAGUACUGAGCUUCUCAUUGAAACUACAGCCUCUGCCUGUUACACAUUGAACAACUUAACCCAGAACAGUUACCAGAAUGCCCGGGACCUUCUAAACACUGGGGGCCUGCAGAAAAUUAUGACUAUCAGCGCAGGCGAUAUCUCUGCCUCCAACAAGGCAAGCAAAGCCGCUUCUGUUCUCUUAUAUGCCCUGUGGACACACACGGAGCUCCACAAUGCCUACAAGAAGGCUCAGUUUAAGAAGACAGAUUUUGUCAACAGCCGGACUACCAAAGCCUACCACUCCCUUAAAGACUGAGGAAAGUGAAAAAGUGCUCUCAGAAAUACCAACCUCACCAUUCUCGGCCACAAAAAAAACCCCAAAGGAAAACACCUAUUUUUCUACUUCCCAGUCCAAGAAACCUCAGAAAUAAAGCAUGCCUUGUUUUUA